rnacentral:lncRNA from 1 species
UGUGUCGUGUUAGUAUUAACUUAUCGGCCACGAUGAAACAUGUGACUGCAGUUUGCUGCUAUGAUCUUCUCACUGUUUUUGUAAGAUACAUGAUAAGAAGGGCACUGUGUUAAUUUUGUUCACCAGUACAUGUUUAUGGAAUUCAAAUCCAUGCUAUAGUCAACAGGAAAGCUUUUGUGUUGGGUGCCCACUUACCUGAUUACAGUUCUUUAGUGACCCUUUUUCUUAGUUAUUUCUGUUAAGUGGCCAGGGUCUGCUAUAGAUUUGCCUUCGUAGCAUGUUGGUUUAUUUCCUGCUGGAGUCGAUUUCCUUAAAGUAGGCAAUAUGUAUGUGUAAUGUGCCAAGCAAACUUUUUUUGUCCUCCUCAGUGUUUUAUGUUGAGUAUUCCGGAAAUUGCGAAACAUCUCUCUCUUCCUCCAGUCAAGCUACACUGCAGUAUGCUUGCUGA